rnacentral:rRNA from 1 species
GAUUAGAGUUUGAUCAUGGCUCAGAUUGAACGCUGGCGGCAUGCUUUACACAUGCAAGUCGAACGGGGUGAAGGGGCAACUCUUCAUUCAGUGGCGAACGGGUGAGUAAUGCAUCGGAACGUGUCCCGUAGAGGGGGAUAACUCGGCGAAAGCCGUGCUAAUACCGCAUAUGCUCUAUGGAGGAAAGUGGGGGACCCGCAAGGGCCUUACGCUAUGGGAGCGGCCGAUGUCCGAUUAGCUUGUUGGUGGGGUAAUGGCCUACCAAGGCGACGAUCGGUAGCUGGUCUGAGAGGAUGAUCAGCCACACUGGGACUGAGACACGGCCCAGACUCCUACGGGAGGCAGCAGUGGGGAAUUUUGGACAAUGGGGGCAACCCUGAUCCAGCCAUGCCGCGUGCGGGAAGAAGGCCUUCGGGUUGUAAACCGCUUUUAGUCGGGAAGAAAAGGCCACCUUGAAUACGGGUGGUUUUUGACGGUACCGGCGGAAUAAGCACCGGCUAACUACGUGCCAGCAGCCGCGGUAAUACGUAGGGUGCGAGCGUUAAUCGGAACUACUGGGCGUAAAGCGUGCGCAGGCGGUUCGUCGUGUCUGAUGUGAAAGCCCCGGGCUCAACCUGGGAACGGCAUUGGAAACUGGCGGACUAGAGUGUGGCAGAGGGGGGUGGAAUUCCGCGUGUAGCAGUGAAAUG